AAGUCGGUUGUGAAGGCCUUCCGCUCAACGGAAGAACGGCAUCCGAUACUGCAUGGCUUGAGUGUGGGAGGGGAGAGUGGAACUUCUGGUGGAGCGGUGAAAUGCGUAGAUAUCAGAAGGAACACCGGCGGCGAAGGCGACUCUCUGGUCCAUAACUGACGCUGAGUGUGCGAAAGCUAGGGGAGCAAACGGGAUUAGAUACCCCGGUAGUCCUAGCCGUAAACGAU
rnacentral:rRNA from 1 species